GGGGAUUUGACGAAAUUGGUAAACGUGACAGAUUCAAAAUUUGUAGUCUAUUUUUGACAUGCGAGUUCAAAUCUCGCAAUCCCUA
rnacentral:tRNA from 1 species